rnacentral:rRNA from 1 species
GAGGAAAGCUUGGGGCGUGCCUAAUACAUGCAAGUCGAGCGAACGGACGAGAAGCUUGCUUUUCUGAUGUUAGCGGCGGACGGGUGAGUAACACGUGGAUAACCUACCUAUAAGACUGGGAUAACUUCGGGAAACCGGAGCUAAUACCGGAUAAUAUUUUGAACCGCAUGGUUCAAAAGUGAAAGACGGUCUUGCUGUCACUUAUAGAUGGAUCCGCGCUGCAUUAGCUAGUUGGUAAGGUAACGGCUUACCAAGGCAACGAUGCAUAGCCGACCUGAGAGGGUGAUCGGCCACACUGGAACUGAGACACGGUCCAGACUCCUACGGGAGGCAGCAGUAGGGAAUCUUCCGCAAUGGGCGAAAGCCUGACGGAGCAACGCCGCGUGAGUGAUGAAGGUCUUCGGAUCGUAAAACUCUGUUAUUAGGGAAGAACAUAUGUGUAAGUAACUGUGCACAUCUUGACGGUACCUAAUCAGAAAGCCACGGCUAACUACGUG